rnacentral:tRNA from 1 species
AUGGUUUUAAGUGGUACAAAAAGCUAGUACAAUCAAAAAAAUCAAGGUGCAUAACACUAUGAUUUAAUAGGGUUUGUUAGAUUGAAUUGUGAAUCGAGGGUUCGACUCCCUCUCUCACCGCCA